GAUGAAGAACGUAGCGAAAUGCGAUAAGUAGUGUGAAUUGCAGAAUUCAGUGAAUCAUCGAAUCUUUGAACGCACAUUGCGCCCUUUGGUAUUCCUUAGGGCAUGCCUGUUCGAGCGUCAUUUAAACCUUCAAGCUAAGCUUGGUGUUGGGUGACUGUCCGCUUCACUGCGGACUCGCCUCAAAAUUAUUGGCGGCCGGUACAUUGGCUUCGAGCGCAGCAGAAACGCGAACUCGGGCCCGUCGUAUUGGCUCCCAGAAGCUAUCUUCACAAUUUUGACCUCGGAUCAGGUAGGGAUAACCGCUGAACUUAAGCAUAUCAAUAAGCGGAGGA
rnacentral:misc_RNA from 1 species